GCCUACGUCGGCGCUCCUCAGGGCCCCAAGCUCCCCAGGCCGAACUUGGGGCAAGUGGAGGGUCGGCGGAGACAGAGCAGCCCCGACAGGCCACAGGGUUGGAUUGCUCAAGGGUUGUGCUGAGACCCAGCAAGGCUAGAGGCUAGUUUCGAAGCUGUAGCUCAGGCUGAGUCUCAAGGCGGGCGACGACUGGACGGCCAGACCGGCGAGCUCUUGACAGGUUUGUGGCCUGAUUGUUUGGAUUUGGUGCUUUUCACCUGUGGAUGCGGAAUGAAGCCAUGUCAGAGGGGUUGUUUGUGUUUAAGCGUGCAUGUUAUAGGCUAUGGGAGUGAUAAUCUUGCCUCUCCCCCUCUGAGUUCAGGAACAAUCAAAGAAAUAAGCAAAGGUGCCAAGCAGGCUCCUGAUGGGCACCAGCGAGCUUGGGGACAGAGCAGUCCAAGCAUAGAAACCCUGGCAAGCCUGGCCCUUCCUAGAAAGUCCUUUCUCUCUCUCUUCCACCCUGGUUUGUUGCUCCAUAUACAAAAAAUAUUUGAAUGUCGCUCUUCCGCCCAAGGUCAGCCCUGGGCAGUGGGUGGUGGGGGUGACACCCGAGUCUGCUGGGUGCCUAAGGAUCUCCAUCAGUUAGAUGGCCAAGAUGAGAGGGGACGACAACCCGUACCUCAUGUAGGCUUUCCCGCAGCAGGUGUUUUUAUGAUGGGCAAAUUGGGCUUCCAGCCUCUCGGUUUCAGGGUUUCCUUCACCCGACUCCCCAAUGUGCCCGACCUCCCUGGGCACCUAGGAUGUCCACCUGCAUCUCAGCCAGAGCUGCCACGUCAGGAGCCCGUGAUUCACUAGUUUUUGCCAGUUGGUUGUGAUACACAAUGUCAAAAGUGUCAUUAAGGCACAGCCGAAGGCGCAAGCUGAGAGGAAAAGACUCCACAGUUAAGAGGACAUGCCACCACUGCCACCCAAUUUAAACUGCCGCAGGCUGACAAAUGAGAAAUCGCCGUGUUUGGACGGUCCCAACAUCCAGUCCCAAGGAAGCUUCAAGCCGAGUGGCCAAUCCACAUGUUGGACUACAGUACCCAGAAGUAAUUUCGCAGAAGAUGACUCAAGACCGGCCUCUGCUUGCCGUGCAGGAGGCCCUGAAGAAGUGCUUCCUGGUGGUGGAGGAGCAGCAGGGCCUGUGGCAGAGUGCCCUGCAGGACUGCCAGCCCCUCCUGUCUUCCCUCAGCAACCUGGCGGAGCAGCUGCAGGCCGCACAGAACCUGCGGUUCGAGGAUGUGCCGGCGCUUCGGGCCUUCCCAGACUUAAAAGAGCGGCUGAGGCGCAAGCAGCUGGCUGCUGGUGACAUCGUCCUGGACAAGCUAGGGGAAAGGCUAGCCAUCCUCCUCAAGGUGCGAGACGUGGUCAGCAGCCAUGUGGAGCGAGUGUUUCAGAUCUAUGAGCAGCAUGCAGACACAGUUGGCAUUGAUGCUGUCCUGCAGCCUUCAGCAGUGAGCCCCUCUGUGGCUGACAUGUUGGAAUGGUUGCAGGAUAUUGAGAGACAUUAUCGAAAGUCAAAGGUACCUGAAUAGAAAGUAUCUUCUUUCCUCUAUCCGGUGGGGAGACUUGGCAAACAUCCAAGCUUUGCCCAAGGCCUGGGACCGAAUUUCAAAAGACGAACACCAAGAUCUUGUACAAGAUAUCCUAUUGAGUGUUUCCUUCUUCCUGGAACAGUAAGGAAGCUGUGCGUAUCUGGAGACCAUGGGCACCACAGUGGAAGACUGACAUUCUAAACCCUGAUGUUUUUAAAGAAACGUCAGUAUUUCAGUCUCACAUAUUUGAAAUAUCAGUGCCUUGAACCUGAGGACUGGGUCUUGGGGAGGAUUAGUGCCUAGAUGUCUGAUGUUGGAGCUGCAGCAUGCCAGGCCAUGGCUGAGAGUAUGUGAGCCACACCUUGCCCUUUUCUGAGGCUCAGGGAAGUGGAUGGAGAUAGAGACACAGCAGGAAAGACGGUGCUGAAGAACAUAGUGCCUUGCCUCCACUGUAGACUUGAAGAGGUGGGGAAGCAAGGACAGGAGGCAAAGAGCCACACUGCCUUUGGCAUCAUCCAGAGCAUUGUCUGGUUGACACCAGGUCCUGGUUUUGUGUCUUUUGUCAAUAUCUGAAUCCUUGACAAAAGAAAAAGUGAUUUUGAUGAUUUAAAGAAAUAAGGGUGAUUUUGACAGAAAAUAUAUUUUAAAAAUAGUGACCAAUUGCAAUAGUUAUCCUCAAGCCAAUUUCCAGAGCCUGCCACCAGGGGGAGGUGGUGCAGCAUGAAUCAUUCUGAAUGCUUUGUCUUUGAAGUGUUCCCCUAUUGCUGUUACUGUCUCAGAGGAAGUAACUGGGCAUGGUGAGACUCCUGACAUGACAGGAGGUUUUUUGGCCAAAGCUGGCAUCUGACUUGCCACAUUCCUCUGAGUCUGUAGUACCUGCAGGGGUGGGAGAACGCCAGCCCAGAGUCAGUCCAUCAGGGUUACAUUUCCAAGGCCCGCUGCCUUCAUCUAUGUAAUGGCCGUGUUACUUUCAGACCUUUCAACUUCCCAGGGUGUUGUAGAAAUCUUGGUCAUUGAAUGUAAAGGGACUUAGUAAAGGGUAUAGAUGUUUUUAAAAAACGAAAAUAACUUUUUUUCUUGUAAGUGAUAAGCUUUUAUAAAGAUCAUAGGAAAACUAGAAAAAAAUGUAAAAUGUAGAAAAUUGUAAAACAAACUUCAUUAGAGAUAUUUUGAUAUGUAUCUUUUCAGUGUUUAUUUACAAAUUUUUUCUUUUAACAUAGAUAGGGUCUCACUAUAUUGCCCAGGUCAAACUCCUGAGCUCAAGGGAUCUUCCCACCUGAGCCUCCCAAAAUGUUGGAAACACAGGCGUGAGCCACUGCUCCCGGCUAAUUCACAAAUUUUUUUAAAGGACAAACAUGGUAUCAUCAAUACAUACUGUUAGGUUGUCUUUUUUAAAAACCUAAUAUAAUUUGUUCAUCUUUUUAUAAAUAUAGCUCAACACAGUUAUAUUCCUUUUGUGAAUGUAUUAUAUCUACAAUUUACCUUUUUUCUUACAUUUUACAUGCAUUUUCCCAAAUCUUUUUGUUUUCCUAUCUGUAAAAGUAAUACAUUCUGAUUAUGAAAAUUUAAAACGCUACAUAGAAAUGUACUAUUAUCUAUCUGCCAGAUAAUUAUUAUUAAUAAUAUGUAUUUAUUUUUCUAGGAAUUAAAAUCUAUCAUAUAAGUAUUGCAAAUAAAACUUAAAAAGCG